rnacentral:tRNA from 1 species
GCCGGUGUGUCGGAAUGGCAGACGACCUCGACUCAAAAUCGAGUGCUAUAAUGGCGUGUGGGUUCGAGUCCCACCACCGGCACCA